UGCAACACUGGGGUUAGGGGAGAGGGGUGAGCUAAAAAGCCCAGUGAGUAGAAACAUAGAAAACAGUUCAUUAAUUACAUGCUCUCAUGAAAUGCGUCAUAUCACAAAGAAAUCACAUAACUGUAUCUUGUCCGUCUCGGGGUUCAUGCAGAUAAAUAUUCCCCACGGACUGUUUUUGAGAGUUUCUUUCUUUGCUAGCAACCUUUACUCUCAAGGAUUAGACAUGACCUCAAAAAUCCCUCUGUCGGUGCCCGGCUCCCCCAA
rnacentral:lncRNA from 1 species